rnacentral:lncRNA from 10 species
UUGGCUUAUUACAAAACAACAGGAUGCUGCAGCUUUAUCAAAGUCUACUUAUUUGUCCACUAAAAGUUUAUGGCUAUACGUUUCCAACUAGAACAUCUGAACACCAAUAUAUGGAAUUCUGACAAAGUUAAAACCAGGAAGAGAUCCUAUGAAGGCUGACAUUUUGUACAUCUGUUUUAUAGAACAAUAAAAAUAAGAAGAACAAGAAUAAGAACAGCAACAACAUUUGCAGCCACUGUCUAGACCACAGGAAACCUGGUCAACAACAUAUGGGAUGUCACCAGAUUCAGACUCAGAAGUUUCCAUAAUGCCGUUGCCAACAGCUAGACACAAAACCUGAGCCUGAGAAUUUGCUUAUGGAUUGUAUAUGAUGCCAGGAAAUGGAAUAGAGGACUGGGAAGAGUGAGAGAAGGAAGAGAAGCCAGGAGGAGAGUAUGUUACGAGCUGUGAAUAAUUGGGACUUGAUUC